UUUUAACUUAUCCAAUAUUUUUUAGAUCAGCAGGAACGCAUGUUUCUCGGGAUUGCGUAUCAUAUAGAGAGGUCCAGCAAUCAGCAGAUAAUUCCUCCCCGAUAAAUAAUUCCCAACCAUUAGGCUAAAGAAAAUACUUAACCCUCAAGUGGCAUUGGUUAGUGACUCAACCUGUCUAAGGAAGAUUUCCUGCUAAACAUUUUGUAUCUUUUAAUUAUAAUUUGUAAUUGUUUUUAAAAUCAUACAGAAAAAUAAGUUCUGCAAUGUUUUUAAAUGUGUAAUAAACAAUGAUAUUUUACAGUAUAUAUGCAAUGGAUAACACCUUGAAAUUUAAUAAUUUGUACAAAGAUAUAUACUAUUUUUAAUAUUAAAAAUAAAAAAACGAAAUUAUAUAUAUAUAUAUAUAUAUAUAUAUAUAGUUUAUACAUGUAAUUAAAUUGGGUUAGGCUUAGGGUUGUACUUUUAUUGUUAGAUCAGAUAUUCUUGCAUUUAAAUAAUUAAACUGUUUGAUACGAUAUAUAUAUGUAAGCAAAAGUUUAAAGACAGAAAAUUUACAAAAUUAAAAAAAAUAUACUUCCCUUUUUUACCGUGAUUAUUGCAAAUUAUUAAAAUUGCAUUAGUAAGAAAUUACACAUACAAGUUUAAAACUUGUAGUAGGUCAAUGCUUGCAUACAUUCCGUUCCAAAACAGAUACCUUUGAUUAUGGAGGUAGGCAUUGUAAGCUUAUGACCUUAGAAUGCCUUAGAUGAUAGUUAAAUGGUUGAGGCGGGCUUGACAAAAAAUGUGAAGAAGAUUCCCAGUGUGGUCACCCAAAGACAGGUCUAUUCGAUCACACUGAAUUUUGAAUACAUUUUUAGGCUCCAGAAUUAACUUGUUUAAUAUCGUUUUGCUUAGAUUAAAUAAUAUAUCUAAGCCAGUGUUUAAUCUGAUGAUACAAUGUCUAUAGUAAAAGAAGCAUUAUAUAUAUAUAUAUAUAUAUAUAACAUAUAUUAUUGUUUUGUUACAUUGUUAAUGAAUAUGUUAUUGUCUUCUCAGAUUUAUAAUGCUUUUAUAUUCAUUAUACUUAUUAAAGUUUGUUAAUUUUGUACAUUUGUAAGUUUUUAUUUUUAUUCUGAAAUACGAUAAAUUUGAAAAUAAUGGAUAUGAUAUGAAUUUAUUCUUGACAUUUCGUUCAUUAUAUAAGUUCUCGCAAGUGACCAAUAUCUUCUUCUUAUAUAAUACAGAUGUUACUUCAAAAAGAAGAUGAUUACGUCCUACGCGUCAUGCAUUUAGUCAUGCAUAUUAACCAAUGACUUUAAUUCUGCCAAGUCACUGGUUUUCCAGGCUAGCUCAGGCAAUUCAUUUCAUGCUCUAAUAGCACUAGGGAAGAAGGAGUAUUUGUAGAAAUUAGUCCUAGCAUAUGGGACGAGGAAUGUGCCUUUAUCUUUGUGUCUUUCAGAGUAUUUUAUUAAAUUUUGUUUUUGUAUUUGAA